rnacentral:rRNA from 1 species
UACGGGGGGGGCAAGCGUUGUUCGGAAUUACUGGGCGUAGAGGGCUCGUAGGUGGCCAACUAAGUCAGACGUGAAAUCCCUCAGCUUAACUGGGGAACUGCGUCUGAUACUGGAUGGCUUGAGUUUGGGAGAGGGAUGCGGAAUUCCAGGUGUAGCGGUGAAAUGCGUAGAUAUCUGGAGGAACACCGGUGGCGAAGGCGGCAUCCUGGACCAACACUGACACUGAGGAGCGAAAGCCAGGGGAGCAAACGGG